rnacentral:rRNA from 1 species
UGCUCGUCCGUCAUCUUUAAUCUCUCCACCUGUGCACAUUUUGUAGUCUUGGAUACCUCUCGAGGCAACUCGGAUUUUAGGAUCGCCGUGCUGUACAAGUCGACUUUUCUUUCAUUUCCAAGACUAUGUUUUUAUAUACACCAAAGUAUGUUUAAAGAAUGUCAUCAAUAGGAACUUGUUUCCUAUAAAAUUAUACAACUUUCAGCAACGGAUCUCUUGGCUCUCGCAUCGAUGAAGAACGCAGCGAAAUGCGAUAAGUAAUGUGAAUUGCAGAAUUCAGUGAAUCAUCGAAUCUUUGAACGCACCUUGCGCUCCUUGGUAUUCCGAGGAGCAUGCCUGUUUGAGUGUCAUUAAAUUCUCAACCUUCCAUGUUUUAUUAGCAUGGUUAGGCUUGGAUGUGGGGGUUGCGGGCUUCAUCAAUGAUGUCAGCUCUCCUUAAAUGCAUUAGCGGAACUUUUGUGGACCGUCUAUUGGUGUGAUAGUUAUCUACGCCGUGGAUGUGAUGCAGCUUUAUGAAGUUCAGCUUCUAACCGUCCAUUGACUUGGACAAUUUUGACAAUUUUGACCUCAAAUCAGGUAGGACUACCCGCUGAACUUAAGC